UCGAGUGAUUUCGUCUGUAAUAACUUGUCGGUGAUGUGUUCUAUUCCGUGUAUAUGUUGGAUAACCUUAAUGUUUUUCAUCAACUCACAGUCAGAGUAAACGUGAAAGUCAUGCAACCUACCGUCAACUAUUUUGUUCAAACUCAUUGUAUUCUACUGAAUGUGUCAUCGAAAUGAUACAGAUCACCGACCCCAGCAUGGAACAAUCUCUCAUUCCAUCUUAUAGAGAAUCUUGGAUAACUGAUUUGUGGUUUCAUGUGUUUCUAAAUUGGCAUGACUGACUAUAUGAGAAGUUAUGUCCUUCCAAGAAAAGGACUUACAGUCAACAAGAUUCCUUGUUUGCUAACCCGUUAUUGGCUGCUACCCUUGAUCUCCCUAUUUGUCAACAACAAAAAAAGAGGUUAAAUAUUGUGAUCAUGCUAUCAUCAUUAUGUUGCCUAUAAGACCAAAUGUGGGGCAUCUGGUUAUCCCUCCGAAAUAAGGCAAUGACCACACGUUCAACACGGAUCAUUCGCUUUGUCAUCGAACUUGACUAAUUCCAUCUUCUGGAUUGCUUAGGAAAGCUGAUUGGUGUUACCUGUCCAUUUAGGUAAUGACCGAGAAGAUGCGGCCACAUGAACAUCAUUUAGG